rnacentral:lncRNA from 1 species
GGGGGUAAUGAGCUAUGAAAGUGCGGAUUCAAUUAAGGGGGAUUGCGACGGAAGGCAGAGCCCCGGCGGCAGACGGAGAAAGGAGCCCGCUCCCCUCUGAAAGGGUCCAUCUGUGCCGCCGGGUCCCCUCUUUGUGCUCCCUGAAAGGGACGGCGCCGCACAAAGGCGGCCGCGUCCCCGCCGGGAGCGAGGCUCCGGCGCUCCCCGAGCCUCUGCCCAUUUCCCUGGGGGGGAAACUGAGGCACGGAGGGGUGAAGGGAGCUGCGGAGGGCGCCGUGGCAGGGUUUGGAGGUCUCUGGGUGCUGCUAGCAAGCUCGUUUGCGGGUGAUUUGUGUUUUGUUUCUGAGUUAGGGGAGGGUCCUUGGCAUGUGCUACAGCCCUUCAAAUAUCCCGGGCACGGCUGCAGGCUCAGGACCCAUCGCCCAGCUGAGACCCCGAGCUUUGGGCUGGAUUUUGGGGCCGCGCUGCCCCGUUCCUACAGCAUCCUGCAUUUUGGGGGCCUCUUCCCACUGCUCCGUGCCGGCACCGGUCCCCAUCCCCUGGCGAGGGGAAGCCGCUCUGCUUCGUGCUGGACAGCUCAGGAGUCCCCCACACCUCCCUGCUGGGCUCCGUGCCUCAGUUUCCCCUGCUGGGAAUGGCUGGCGGAGCCAGAAGCACCCAAAGGUGCAUGCAGGGGCUUCAGCACCUUCCUCUCCUCAGCUCCGACCUCCGGGCAUCCAGUUCUGAGACCCCCCAAGCAUCGUUCCGGCUGGAAACACCCCCGGGGGCCUCUUCAUCGGAGAGCCCCCCGCCUGAUUACAACUUGGGGGGGAUUGGGCCAGGGACGAGUUUAAAGACGGGAUUAUUCCUGUACAAAUUCUGAUUAAACCAUCCCCAAACCCUCCUGCUACAAGAUUAAGCAGAGCUCUAAUCUCACCCGAGCAGCAAGACUUCGUCAAUAACUCCAAAUCUCUCCGCUGUUAGUUUAUCUGGUGGGGAUUAAGCAGGGAGGUUCCUGAACUUGUAUUAUAAUAAUAAUAAUAAUAAAAUAAAUAAAAAAAGAAGCGCAUGUGUGCUGGCCAGUGCACGACAGCUGUCAUUGCAGGCGUCGCAGCCAGGGCUGGGGCUGCCCGAAAAGCCUGCGUGGGGC